GAGGGCAAAACCAAUCAAGAAUCGUUAAAAAGUUCUAAAUACUACCAAUAAAAAAGUGUGAAAAUAUAACUUGAAGAAGUGAAAAAAAUUUAUUUACGUUAUUAGAUAUAUAAAUUUUUGUUAAAAUUUUAAUACUUAUCUAUAAGAUACUUAUUUUUUGUAUAUUUUCUUCUUACAGUUCCAUUUUUUGUACUGAACAUAUGUUAAGAAAAAUUUAACCAAAUUUAAAGAAAGGAUACUGUAUUCUUAUAUUGCAUUCGACUAGUGCUGUCAUCAUGUGGUAUAAUACGGAAUUAUAUGCAAUUUUAUUUAUGGUGCUAUCAAUAAUUUCAAUCAUUUAUAAACCGUUAUCCAUCAUUAGUACUUAAUGUUAUUGAUGUUGUUUCUAAAAAAGGAUUAUGUUUAAUGAUAUAAUCAAUGCAUAAGGUAUCUAUGACGCAGUUUAUUAUACAAUUACAAUACUCUUACUAAUCAUAUUGUGAUAAUGAUCGUAGUAAUAGUAUAUUCUAGAUAACAUGAAAUAUUCCAGAUUGAUAUGAUUUUAUUUAUACAGCUCCAUUAACGCACAUUCAUACAUCUCUUUUCCUUUCUCUCAACCCUUUCGCUCAAACUUCUGGUGAAUCCUUUCAAGAUCAACGCAGAAUAUUUAGGGCGGACAUCAGAAACACGCUUCGCGGAUAAUUAAUUGCUAAUCGUAGUGCAUCUCAUGGCAUGAAUUCUCAUAACCAUAGAUACGCGUGAACGUCUUAAAAAGGUUGUGAAUCUCACGAACACGCUUCUAAGUCUUGGUACAAAAUAGUUUAGACGACUUUGUCAUCGAAUUAUGGACUAUUCUCCAUUCUUAUGAUUUUAAUCUUUUAUAAGAACUAUCAUACCGUGCUCUUUUUUUUUUUUAAUUUUUCUAAAUCUUUUCUUAUCUUCAUUUAGUCUCUUAUGGUUACCUUUUAAUGGUACUUUUCUCUUAUUACUUAAUGUUAUUUCUAGUCAUCGAAUCGAACGAUGUCACGCGUGUCCCAAUAUUUAUGAAUAACACAUCGAAUUAUUUAAUAAUAGGCUUCUAUAUAACGCUAGAUUUCUCUCAGAAGACAAUUAUACACCGCUACUGAUUGAGAUUAAUCGAUUAAUUCUCGAUAUAUCAAUGUCAUCUUGGAAAAAAGUGCGCCCCUUUUGUAUUACGCCAUAUUUUUCUCGUGAUUUUUAAUGUUAUUUCACAUAGGUAUUUAGAAAGAACGCGAUGGGACGGUAGGAGCAAAAUCGUACGCGUUUUUACAUUAAUUUUGACUCUUCAAAUAUUUAACAAAAUAUUUUAAAAAUCAGAUAAGAAACACAAUAGGAAAAAAAUAAUUUUCUAAUCAAAGCUUAAAAAUUAAUAUUUAUAAUAAAUCAUAAAACAUUAUUAGAUAUUAGUAAUUUACACGGUGUUGCAAUUGAUAUUUGAUCUUUUUAAGCCAAAUAAUAUAAUCUUGCGUAGUAUCAUUAAAAAAGAAUAAAAUUUAUUUAAAAAAAAAAUAAAACUCACGAUAAAACUCGUGCAAUUUAUGUCGUUCUUGUUCUAUCGGUAAAAUACAAAGGAAAAGAUUUUAGGAUCAUUUUAAUAUUCCAUAUAAAAAAACGAAAACAGGAAACAAAGGAUAGACAAAAAGAAAACGGAGAAACAAAAAGUAACUAAAGUCUAUCUAGCACUUUUAUUUUCAAAUAAUAAAAGUUAAAAUAUAAUGAAAUAAUAAUUAAUAAUAAUAAUAAUAAUAAUUAAUAAUAAUAAUAAUUAUUAUAACCAUUGUAAUAAUGCUUCUAUCAUUACUCAUUCAUGGAAUGCGCCGGCUUACCGAGGCCCACGAAAAAAUAAUUAACCAAUGACACGUUGAUCAGAGGGUGCGGGAAUCGUGGGGUUCGGUUUUUCUAAUCUCUCUUCUUAUCUACAAAAAACACUGUACACCUUCGACGGACAAGGAAGAGGAGAGAUAAUAGAAAUAGAUAAUAGAUAAAAGAAAGAAGAUAAGAAAAACGCAAAAGUGUCCCUCACACUCACACUCUCUGUCAUUCACACUCGUUAAUUUUCAAUUAUCCCGUUGUAACAUUUGAAAUCACGUUCUCUUCGCUAUCUAACGAUUUCUUUCUCCCGUUUCUACCGUUUACACACCCGUUGAUCGCGUUUAAUUUAAUAAAACGUCUACAUAACGCACUCGCAACUGGUGCUCUAGGAACUCUUUUUUUCUUUUGUAUCUUUCUUCGCGAAAUUCUCUCUCAUUCUUUAUUUUCUCUCAUUCACACUUCUGUUUCGCUACAACUUGGUCCACGACUCUGGGAGUUAAUGAUUCGAAGUGAAACGAAAUUUAAAGGAUCGAUCGAAGGGAUGCAAAUUGAAAGUUAUAGAAUUAUGGAUGGUGAAAGAAAUGGGAAAUGAUUGUGUGUGUGUGUGUAUCUGUAUGCAGGUGUGAAAUGUGAUUUGAGAACGAAAUAUCGUACGCGCGAUCGAUAUGAGAUCUCGUCUCGUACGCGUUUAAAUACAUACAUACAUACGUACAUACAAAUGCUAUAUUACAUAUAAUCACGUGUUGACGAUACAUCAAAAUAUGUAAAAUAUAUUUUGAUGUAUCGUGUAAUUGAUGUAUCAUUUAUAAAAAAUUAUAUAUAACAUAACAUAAUAUAAAUAUAUGCACGCUUGACGCCAUAUUGUAUGUAUAAAACUGGAGAAAAAAAGAAACACUUGCAACAAAUGUUUUAAUUCGUUGACGUUGCUCGAUCGUAAGUACGAGAGAGUGAUUGAGAAAUCGUGUUAACCAGAAAUAAAUCUCAAUGUCAAGAAUAACGUGUUUAGUAAUUAAUAUAAUGUAUCAUAGUUAUCGCUAUUUAUCACCACUUAAGAACAACGAUGAGUUUUCAUUUCCUUAUCUAUAUGAUAUACAUCAUGGAAAUCAAAUCAUCCUGUUUCACUAUUGAUCGAUUUCAGAUCAAAAUUGAAUAUUAUAUAUAUAUAUAUACAUAUAAAAAAAGAUAUUUAAUUAUAUUAUAUUUAUUCUAUCACGUGAUAAAGAGACACAUAUUUGAUAUUUUCUCUCGAAUUUACAAUCUUCAACGACCAACGUUACCCCAUGAUACUCUAUGAUUAAGGAUUAACUUAACGAUAAGCGUCGCAAUAAUAAGAAACGAUCGUCGCAAUGAAUAAAUCCGCCGCAGAUUCGCUAAAUCACCGUUCUUUGCCGAUUCUCUCUAUUAUUUACAACACGUUACACUUUAUACAUUUAUAUCUAUGUAUAUGUAUAUACAUAUGUAUAUAUAUAUAUGUAUAGUAUGUAUAUAUUUAUACAUAUUAUGUAUGUUCUCGUCUCAUGCGCAACUGCGUUCUACAUCUUUCUUGUCAAGUGUGUGCUCAGGCACCCACGUACACACAAAUAACAUAAUAUAUAAUAUAUAUAUAUAUAUACGUAUAUCGAUGAUUCUUAGCAUUACGGCGAGUACAAUUACAAAUUUCUACGUAUGUAAAUUCCUUCAAAUUAUUAUUUACCGACGUAAUCACCAUUUUUUCGUUUUAUUCCUUUCGUCGCAACAAGAUUAUAAUCUUUAAUUAAUUAGAAGAGGGAGAAUUCAUUCAUUUCGAAGAAUCGAUUUCCAGGUUUCCAAGAUGAAAGUUCACGCGCCAUAUAAGUCACGUGGGCGUUUUUCAAACGCAAAAAUGACGGGAAAGCGAACUCUCGAAUCAAAGAAACCAUCGAUAUCGACUCGUAUAAACAUAUACGUGGAAUAAUUCGCUGAUAAAACUGUCUAUAUAUACUAUAUAUACACGUACAGAACGUAUCUACAAUUGCUAAUCUUCGUGUCUGUCCAAGAAGCAAAGAAUACGAGCGUGCUCUCUUGUUCAUCCCCUUAGGAAUCUAUCUUUCGUUUACUUCUUCUUCUAUUUUAAUUAAACGUCACACGUAUUUGACGAUUAGGCAUGACGAUACUUUGGCUUGAGUAAUUACGAUUCGUCGUAAAAUCGAUCGUCCAGAGAUCUUCGACUUCGACGAUGAAGAUGAACGAGCCCAUUCCUCGUAUUCCCUUCGAUUCUCCCUUCUUUUUUUGUUUUUAAAUUUAUUAUUAUGCCUCGUGCAUAUUUCUUCCUAUAUGUACAAACUCAGGACACGGAUAUGUAUGACGACAGACACGCAAACGUGUGCGUAAUUAUAUACAAACGUAUUGUCGGACCUCGCCGCAUAUUUGCCAAAUGCAAGGCUGCUUAAAACUCGAAGAUCGAAAGUUAAUCUGAUCUUAAUAUUACGAUAAUUAUGUUCGAUGAAAAUAAACGCUAUGGUAUCCAUAAAAUCUAAUUAAUAUAAUUAAA